rnacentral:rRNA from 1 species
CCUACGGGAGGCAGCAGUGGGGAAUAUUGCGCAAUGGGCGAAAGCCUGACGCAGCGACGCCGCGUGAGGGAUGAAGGUCUUCGGAUCGUAAACCUCUGUCAGCAGGGAAGAACGGUCACUGUGCUAAUCAGCAGUGAAUUGACGGUAACUGCAAAGGAAGAACCGGCUAAAUCCGUGCCAGCAGCCGGGGUAAUACGGAAGGUGCGAGCGUUAAUCGGAAUUUCUGGGCGUAAAGCGCUCGUAGGCGGUAUGUCAAGUCAAGGGUGAAAUCCCCGCGCUCAACGUGUGAACUGCCUUUGAAACUGGCAAACUGGAGUGUGUGAGAGGAUAGUGGAAUUCCAGGUGUAGGAGUGAAAUCCGUAGAUAUCUGGAGGAACAUCAGUGGCGAAGGCGACUAUCUGGCACAUAACUGACGCUGAGGAGCGAAAGCGUGGGUAGCAAACAGGAUUAGAUACCCUUGUAGUC